rnacentral:rRNA from 1 species
AGGGGCAGCAUGAACUUAGCUUGCUAAGUUUGAUGGCGACCGGCGCACGGGUGAGUAACACGUAUCCAACCUUCCGUACACUCAGGGAUAGCCUUUCGAAAGAAAGAUUAAUACCUGAUGGUAUCUUAAGCGCACAUGCAAAUAAGAUUAAAGAAUUUCGGUCAUCGAUGGGGAUGCGUUCCAUUAGGUUGUUGGCGGGGUAACGGCCCACCAAGCCUUCGAUGGAUAGGGGUUCUGAGAGGAAGGUCCCCACAUUGGAACUGAGACACGGUCCAAACUCC